rnacentral:rRNA from 1 species
UACGGGGGGGGCAAGCGUUGUUCGGAAUUACUGGGCGUAAAGGGCUCGUAGGCGGCCAACUAAGUCGGAUGUGAAAUCCCCAGGCUUAACCUGGGAACUGCAUCCGAUACUGGAUGGCUUGAAUCCGGGAGAGGGAUGCAGAAUUCCAGGUGUAGCGGUGAAAUGCGUAGAUAUCUGGAGGAAUACCGGUGGCGAAGGCGGCAUCCUGGACCGGCAUUGACGCUGAGGCGCGAAAGCAUGGGUAGCGAACAGG